AGCGCUUGAAGAUGCCACUGUCUAGUACUUGUAUUAAGUGUUCUUGUUUGAUUAAUGAGAGUAUAAACUGCUUACGAAGCUUGUGUGUGGGUUUUGCAGCAAGCAGCUUGUUGGUUGUAAGUAUUAAUUUGUCUAUUUUGUGUCCUUAAUUCAGCAGUAAAAUUUUAAUGAGUUGUAUCUUUCAGAUAGCGCUUGAAGAUGACACUGUCUGGUACUUGUAUAAAGUGUUCGUGAUUUAUUAAUGAGAGUAUAAACUUUUUCAGCCUGCAUGCGAGGGAAUCACAUACACAAUUGCCCUGCUUUUUCUCGCCUCAAGCUUUAGGCUGCCCAGCAGCGUAAAGGUGAGAGAAGAGGGAACAGGGUGUCUUUAUUCAUUUCUCAGUGCUUUGCGUUAGUACUUUCUAGAAAUUAGUUGGCAGCUUAUUUACAAUUCACUUAUGUGGUAAGUAUUAUAAGCUAGUAGUAGGCGAAACUUAAUAUAAGUGUUUAUUAAUAAAGUUUGAAUUUUACAAAUAAUUGAGUGUUUUCUUUUUUAUAUACAUAUAUAUAUCUAUCUAGUAAAGUUGUAGUUAUUUAUACAGAUUUAAUUUGGUGGGGAAGAGUAAAGACUAAGUCAGAUUUUCUUCGUUAAAUUCAAUUUAGAUUACUAUUCUUUAAAUUCAAUUUGGAUUACUAUUCUUUAAAUUUAAUUUGGAUUACUAUUCUUAAAUAUAAUUACAUUUAGCUGGUUUGUUAGUUGUAUUGUUGAUUUGAUAACUCUAGGGGCGUCAUCAGUCGCUGUCAUCCAGUCUUCAGUGGCCCGGAGGGGAAGACAGAAGAAGGCGCUGCUGUCGAUGCUCUUAUUUGUAGCUAUGUCCAGGUUGUAAGUACUCCGUGGAUCCAGGAGAGAGGCUAGUCUGAGACUUGCUAUUUAUUCAUAGGCACCCUUUAUUUUCUGGCUUUUGCUUACUUUGUUUCUUUCCAUAGUGUUCGUCUUUAUUUAGAAUUUCUUAUAUCGUGAUUGUUUAUUUAUUUGCUUUGCUUGAUUUUUUUUUGAGAUUUUUAUUUAUUGUUGGUUUUAUUAGUAAGAAUAUUAAUUUAUUAUUAGCUUGCUAUGGGCUUUAACUUUGUUUAUAUUUAAGUUUUUGGAUUUAUUAUUAUUAUUUAUUUAUUUUUUGUUUGUUAGAUUUGACUGCAAGAUUCACUCAGUAGCGUGUAUAGCGAGGUGGGUAUAUUAUUGAAAUAUCGUGUAUUAGUUAUAAGUUUAUUUAUUUGUUUUGUCUAUCCAUUUUAACAUUUGUUUUAUUUAUUAAUUUAUUGUUAAGUGUUUUUAUUAUUUGCUUUGUUAAAUCGAUUAUUUAUUUAUAAUUAUGGUUGUUUAGCGUAUUUAUUUUGUUUUUACUUAGGGUUUUGCACUUUUAUUAGAAAGUUUUGUUGCGAGUGUUGCAUAUGUAAUUAGAAGUUUAGCCCGUUUUGUUUUGUUGCUUGUGUUUUUAGUCUUUAUUUGCAGCAGGAAUUAGUUGAGGCGGCCAUGUUGUAAGAUUGGUAAGUACAUAUUUGUUUUCAUCGUUUACUUGCAUAUUUAUUAUAUUAAGUAUCAUUAAAAGUUGUCGGCAGGAGUAGUUCAACUGCAUGUAUUGCGGUGAUUUAUUUAUUGGAGUAGUUCAACUGCAUGUAUUGCGAUGAUUUAUUUUAUUGGAUCGUAGAAUUAUUUGUGUUCGCGCGCGGUAUUUGUUAAAUUUGUGCUAGCGUAGCUUGCGCGUCAAUUUAUCUUUGAGUAGGGUUGCUUACUUUAUCAUUAUCGAGUUUUAGUAUUUUGUACAAUUUUAUCGUUAUCGAAUUUUAAACAUUUUGUGUAUUUUCAGCUUUGUUCUUAUUUGGUGGUUGGAUUCGUUUGGUAAGUAGUUUCAAUUUAUUAGGAUUCAGGAAUUAAUUAUUGUUUGGUGGCACCAGAGAGGACAGCCAAGUUGAUGAUGGAUGGGUAAGUAUGUGCUUAUAUAUGUAGCAAAAGGACUGGCUUUAUUAUUAUAAAUCUUUUUAUUUCCAGAUAAGACGUGGAAAGUUACCAAGUCUGAUUUUAUAGUAUAUAAAUAGGUUAUUUGUUAUUCUUAGGUUAUUGUUUUGUUUGUAGAAUUGUCAUUAGUUUAUUGUUUUGCUUGUUUCCCUUAGUCUGAGUUAUUGUUUGUUUAGACUUUGUUUCAUUUAGUGAAUUUUAGUCUUUUAGGAAUAUUUGUCUUGUUAUUUAGUGUAGUAGUUUAAGUUUAAGAUUGCAUUUGCCUGGGGUAAUUUGAGUUUUAAUAUAUGGCGCAGAGUAUUUGUUUCCUUUGUGGCUAUCGAAUUUUGACAAAUAGCGUACUUUAGGAUGUGUUCGUACUAGGUGUUUAUGUUUGGAUUAUAUUAAGUUUAUUUAUUAUACGCAGGUAGCUAAGUUGUUAUUUAAUAGGUCUUUUAUAAUUUAUAUAUUUUUAUUUUUAUUUUAUUUUAUUUGUUUAUUUAUUUUAUUUAUUUAUUCUUAUUUUUUGUGAGCAAUACGUGCGAGGGUGGGUAUCAAAGUUGCUUCCUUUUGUUUCUUGUUGAAGAUUACUGCUUUGUCAGCUUCUUUUCCUUGCUUAGACUUGUCUUGUCUUCAGUAUUAGCGUUUGAUUUAGUGUUUGGUUGUUAUGUGCUAUAUAUAUUUAUUGUUUGAUUUUUAUUUUUAUUUUUUUAUCUGAUUGUUGUUUUAUUAGUUAUAUUAUUAUUAUUAGUUAGUUAUAGUGUAAUUACUAGUUAGUUGUAUUGUAUUAUAUUAUUAGAUAUUUAGAAUUGCAUUAAUAUGUUGGGGAUGUCAAAUAGUUUACCAGUUUUUAUCGUUUAGGAGGCUUGUAGUUUGUAUUUGUGAGGAAUAUUGUAUAAUAUUGUUAUUAUUAGUUAGUUAUAGUGAAAUUAUGUUAUUCUAGUUAUUUUUUUUAUU